AACGAACGCUGGCGGCAGGCCUAACACAUGCAAGUCGAGCGCGCCCUUCGGGGUGAGCGGCGGACGGGUGAGUAACGCGUGGGAACGUGCCCUUUUCUACGGAAUAGCCUCGGGAAACUGAGAGUAAUACCGUAUACGCCCUUUGGGGGAAAGAUUUAUCGGAAAAGGAUCGGCCCGCGUUGGAUUAGGUAGUUGGUGGGGUAAUGGCCUACCAAGCCGACGAUCCAUAGCUGGUUUGAGAGGAUGAUCAGCCACACUGGGACUGAGACACGGCCCAGACUCCUACGGGAGGCAGCAGUGGGGAAUCUUAGACAAUGGGGGCAACCCUGAUCUAGCCAUGCCGCGUGAGUGAUGGAGGCCUUAGGGUUGUAAAGCUCUUUCAGCUGGGAAGAUAAUGACGGUACCAGCAGAAGAAGCCCCGGCUAACUCCGUG
rnacentral:rRNA from 1 species